CCGACCAAGAAGAUGUUCAAACAACCAAGAGAUAUGUUAGUCCAAAAACAGAAUGAGGAGCGAACUUUUACCACUUAUUUGUGUAGAAGAGUAUGGUACCAGGGGUGCAGCUGACUCUGAUUCUCGGCUUGUUCUAUUGAAAAAAGGCAGAUGAGGCACUGGAAUCCGAAUGUAAUCAAAAAUGCCAUUGUAUGAGGAUUGACCUGCAAUGCAUGGCAAUCAUCUUAACACAACUGCAACGCCUUCCUUGGAAAAAUGAGUGCAAGAUGGAAACAAAGCAUUCAGUGGAACAUCUUGUCAUCUCAAAUAUUUGAUGACUUACAUACUGAUGUGAAGUUGAAGAUAAAAGUCAUCUGUUGGUCCGUGAUAAUUAAAUAAAUCCGAACAUAUAUUUUAAAAGGGUAAAAUGGUAAAGGAUUUAUAUACACUUUAAGUGGUUUUCCUAUAUUAUGGAGGGAAGAUAACUACAAAAACAGAAACAGAUGGCAUCGGCAGACCAAAUAAAGGAGAACUAUUUUGUUCAAUUCAAUUUUUAAGACUUCAGAAAAUCUGUUAAUAGGGCACAUCUUUGCAAGUGCCAUAUUGUAAACGGGGCUCUUUAAAAUGUGAAAAGGUGAAAGUGGUCUAGAGGAUAAGCCCCAAAUUCAAGGUUGUGAGUUCAAGACCUCCAAGAUACUUUCUCUUGACCUCAGGAAAAGGAUGUCCAUACUUGUUUCUUCUUAGGCAACAGACUUAAGAGUGAUUUUGUAAGCUUCCAGCUUGCAUAGCAAUCUGAUAAGGCAUAAAAUAAGAUACUAGCUGACUUGCAAACAGUUUUUCCAUUUGUGUUGAUUUAUUUUUCAGUCUGUUUGAAUGUUUAUUAGAAGUGAUGCGCAUUGCUUACUGCAACCAAUAUUUAUUUUCUUUAUUAAGUUGAAUUUAACGAACACAUAACAUGACCUUUGAUUUUACAGAUGCAUGUUUAUUUCGUUGAUUGUAUGAGUUUAUUUUCUCAACUGAUGUAAUAAAAGUUAUUCUGAAUGACUGUCCUUUUUUGUUUGAAGAAAAUGUGUUGAGGUUUUGGCAUAGCAUAGUGUCAUCAUCAUCAUCAUCAUUGUUGUGUACAAAUAAAACAUUCAAAACAAUGUAUUAAAAACCAAACU